rnacentral:rRNA from 1 species
GGAAUUUUUGGCAAUGGGCGCAAGCCUGACCAAGCAACGCCGCGUGGAUGAUGAAGUAUUUCGGUACGUAAAAUCCUUUCGACUGGGACGAAGGCGCAAGGUUGACGGUACCCGUCGAAGAAGCCCCGGCUAACUCCGUGCCAGCAGCCGCGGUAAUCCGGGGGGGGCAUGCGUUCUUCGGAAUUCCUGGGCGUAAAGGGCGCGUAGGCGGCUCGCUAAGUCGGGUGUGAAAACUCUGGGCUCAACCCAGAGCCUGCAUUCGAAACUGACGGGCUAGAGUUCUGGAGGGGAAAGCGGAAUUCCUGGUGUAGCAGUGAAAUGCGUAGAUAUCAGGAGGAACACCGGUGGCGAAGGCGGCUUUCUGGACAGAAACUGACGCUGAGGCGCGAAAGCUAGGGGAGCAAAC